UUUCUUGUAUGGGGCAUGCCGCUGACAGUUACUACAGUUCCGGACUACUUCGUAUGUGUCUGCUACUACCGAAGGCCAAUAGAAACCUUGCCUGAAAGCUUUUGCUGACCAGCGCUGUUGUUCCCAUAUGAUGCGAACACAUGCCGUUGUGUAUUUCUUGCAACAAUUCUUUACCUUCGUCAAUGGCGAUGCAUUUUAACAAUGGAGCACACACUCCCUUUCUAUACAAGUUUCCCCCCUCAUGCAAUAAUUUCUUGCCCGAAGGGCUAAUCUUUUCC
rnacentral:lncRNA from 1 species